GUAGAAAUGCAUGCUUAUCUCUGCUCUCCAAUGAUGAUUUGGAUUCUGAGCCUUUAUAACCCACUAAGAUCUGCCUUACAGCAGUCUUGGAAGAUAGUAGCCAUGGUUUCUAAUAUUAUGAACCUGCCCUUUUGUGAAGCUGAAGUACGAAUGGGGCAUUAUAGAUUUGACCAUUCCAUUUGUAGAUCAGAAACAGAACAGCCCCUAAUCCUUCUCUUAGGUUUCUCUUUCCAGAAAACCCCUUAAGACCACAGCACUGCAAUGCCAGGCACGCACAGUGGUAUGAAAACAGGCUGCCAUUUUGGGCUGCAGGUCUACAUGUUCAUGUCUUGGCCCAAAGGAACUGUAUGGUUUGGUGGUUUGGGGUUUUUUUGGGUUGUUUUAAGGUGUGUUGUUUGUUUGGCUUUUUUGUUUUCUUUUGAAGCAAACUUUGUAGCCAAAGCUGUAGCCUCUUCUUUCCCACAGUCUAAGGACCCACACUGUACAUGAUGACUUUCACCUCCUGUAGGGAGUGCAUUUGUAGCAGAGCUCAUGUUAAAACAAGGCAGGAACAGGGAUCUGCCUUGGGAAGAGCCUAAACUUCUGUUUGUAUUAACAUAACUUCUUGUUAUGUUAAUCAGAAGUGCCACUGGACGUUCAUACAGAUCCCUCUCAGGCAGGGUAACUGUGGUGCCACCUGAUUUUUCUUUUUAAAUGUAGUUGGGAAAAGACACAGGAUUUUUUUUCUGAAAAUCCAAAGAGCCAACCCAGUUUGCCAUGUAGAAAAAAGCCAACCCAUGCUCUAAUUGUAGAAGCUUCCCAAAGUUUAUGUGUGCUGCUUAAUGCUAUUUUUUAUAUGAAAAGUUAGGAUCACAGGAUCAACAGAAGAAGGAAGCUCUUCAAGAGUUUGCAUGUAGAGCUGGAGAAUGUGAAAUGCAGUGAGUGAGAGCUCAAGUGCUGAAGGGAAGGCUCUGCAAACUAUUGUGUCUACAACAUGGGAAACAGGCAACUAUCCACCACAGGUUUCCAUGCAUCCUGCUGCUCUCCCUGCUGGGGUGAGAUGCAGCUGAUUGCAGUUGCUGCCAAAGGAACCUCAAAAGCAGCAUCCAAAACAGGAAUUUUACAGCUCUGCCUGCACAUGGCACCAGCAGAGGUUUGUGAGUGCACACUGCCAGCAAUUCCUCACUUCCACACAAUAGGAGUCAAAUGGAGAUGAUGGUCAGUUCUACUGGGAUGGAAAAUUCUCACAUCAACUGAGAUGUUUACGAUGAGAAAAGCUUGUGGUUGUUAUUUUCAAAGGUGCUAUUCCCAAUUCUUAGCUAAAGCCUGUCUCAUUACUCUGUAUAUGGCAAAGUGCAAUAAGCCAAGACUAAAGUAAACUAAUCUUCCAUCCAGGACAAAGUUUUUCAAAGGAACCCUGUUGAACCAAAGUACAGGACCAGAUCACCAGCAAACCCGCUCUGCUAGGGCAAGGCCAGCAGGUGUGUGUGUGCUGGGCUGGUGCCUGGGCUUGCUGCUUUGAGAUCUGAGUGAGACACCAAGCUGGAAGACCUGGAAGUGAGAGAGAGGCUGUGUGUGUUCCCUGAGCACUGCAAGAGGCAGCCUGCUGCCAUACAGGCUCUCCCUCACCUCAGCUGCCCCUACUGCCCAGGCUGGCUCUGGAACGCUGCCAUCGGAUUUACGGGAGCGGUUUUGUUUCUAGAAAGAGGUUGGUAGUUCAGUGUAUUUCCAUGUUUGUCCCAGAUACUGUGUAUGUAAAAAACAAAAUCCCAUCUUAAAUCAAGAGGAUCAGACUGUUUCAUCCUAAUAUAAUCUGAGUUAUUCUUAAUUUCCAGAGCCAUGGAAAUAAUGAUGUAAUGGCACUUGCUGUACUGAUGUGGCAUUUUUCCAGAGAUGACCUUGUAUGGCCCCUGAAGUCAGCACCCUUGGCAAGUUGCAGCUACAGGCUUCUGCUAAGGGAGACGCAGGGUCAUUUCUGCAGCAUUUCCCAUUGACCUGGGCACUAGGAUAGCUGUAUGUUUCUUUGGGAUUACUUCCUUUUCCUUCCCAAGGGAAUGUACUUGCAAAGGGUCUGACAGUGACAGCUUGUGCUACAAAGAACACUAGUAAGGCUCUUGCUGUUUUGUUACCCUCAAACAGCUGAAAUCUGGAAUUUAUAUCACUAAUGCCUGAGUCAGAAGUACAACCAACCUUUGGACUGCUAAUCUUUACAAGUACUUAACAGCUUCAUUCUCUUAUAAACGUGGGUUUUGUUUUCAAGCUUGCAUGACAGCAAAAUACCAUUUAAAAGAAUUGCUACAGGUGUGGCAGCAGUUGUAAUUAGCACUCUUCUUCAUGAUAAGUUUACAGAAAAAUGUACUGCUCUUUCCAAAGAUCGAUUUUAAGAAAAUUGACAAUCUUGCUUGCUACAUGCUCUCAAUCUUAUCACUGAUGGGUGGUGACAGUUCUUAACUACAGCUACAGCACUUCUACAGCUGAUUUUGUUUCACUCCUGGGGAACAGGGGCCCUAUGGCAUAUAGAAGUAAUUUACAGCUUGCACAAGUAUUAUUUAAUUCUCAAAAGCAAAAGAUCAGUAUCCUCCUCUGGGAGGAAGAUAUUACAGAAAAAGAAAGUACUGCAGACUGUAAAAAAUGGCUAACUGUAUUUAUAAUUUUCUCCAGGCAUUCCGUUUCAAUUACACUAUUUUCUUCCCACCCUCCUUUCCCUGAACAUUUAAUUAAUUUGGAAUUAUUAAUGUUUACACUUUGAUCAGUGAAAAGAGGGUCGCACCACCCUGACAGGUUACAUAUUAUCAUACAGCUCUUCCAGGCAGGAGCUACAUCCUCUCAAACAAGUUGUGGCUGCAGCUAAAUGCAAGUCUCUGCUUCCUUGCUCGGUGGCACAGCCAACAUUUCAGACCACCUCUCCUCCUUUUAAAAUAUUGCUCUUUGACAUUUCACCAGCAGAAGAAAUACCCCGACAGGGGAGUGGCACCAAUUUAGAGAGGCAUGUUUUGCCCAUGAGAGAACAUGAGGGAAGGGCUCUGCCCAACCAAACCUGCUGCAGUGCUCUCCAUCCUUUGGCAAGACCAGGAGCUGUAGACAUGAGGGUAUGAAAGCAGUUUUAACUUGUGCACACUCAAUCAAGUGCUGUGUGAGUAAAUGCCAAGGCAGUAAUGUAAAUACACAAAUCAGAGGUCUCUAGCCUUUAGAGUGGGGCAUCAGUUUAUAAAGAGAUACAGAGAGAAGACAAGGAAAAAAUACAGUAUGCAUUUUACUGAAAUCUCACAAGUCAUUUGUCUGGGUAGGGGAGAGAAGAUAAAAGUGACAUCAAGCAACUUCUCACAAGUCAGUUCUGUGGGUGGGGGAGAGAGAGUGCCUUUGGUACAGUCGUGGGAAGGGUAAGAGCGCUUCACUGUGAAACUUGGAUAAAACUGACAUCAAGCAACUCAGAAAAAAACCUCUAGAACCUUAGAAGCUACAGAAAGCAAAAUUUUAAAUGAGUUACAUUUAUUCAGUUAAAAAAUUGACAGUUAGUAAUGGUCACAUGAACACCAGGGAACUGUAUCUACAUUUCCUGACGUCAAUAUGAACGGCACUAGGGUUUUUCUGUUUGUUUUCUUUUACGUAUAUAAAUCUAAUGCCAGUUAAAAAAAUACAAAACAAAGCUGAAACCCAAGACACUGUGAAAUCAACACUGCUUAAAAACUCAAAAGUCAAUCUGAUAUAUUUGAAAAUAAAUAUUUUUUACCUUUCUUGUUAGAAAAAGACAGCUCACCAACUGCUUUCAAAGCAGUUACAUCUUUAAGACCAUUCCCAAAAGUGUUUCAUAAAUAAUUACCCAUUGAUUGAUUGUCUAUUAAUGCAGCAUCUCUCAGUCAUAGCUGGGGUCUCUGUUAUUAGGCCAUAAAAUGUUUUUUUCAGACACAGUGUUUUGUUCCCCCCCCUUCCUUUUUAUUUAGGUAUACUUUCUUUGAAUAUAGCA